AUUGAACGCUGGCGGCAGGCCUAACACAUGCAAGUCGAGCGAGCGGCGGACGGGAGAGUAAUGUAUGGGGACUGCCCGAUAGAGGGGGAUAACUACUGGAAACGGUAGCUAAUACCGCAUACUAUCGGAUAACCCAUAUGGGAUCAGCUAGUAGGUGAGGUAAUGGCUCACCUAGGCGACGAUCCCUAGCUGGUCUGAGAGGAUGAUCAGCCAGACUGAAACUGAGAAACGGCCCAGACUCCUACGGCGGCAACAGUGGGGAGUAUUGCACAAUGGGCGCAAGCCUGAUGCAGCCAUGCCGCGUAUAUGAAGAAGGCCCUAGGGUUGUAAGGUGCUUUCAGUCGGAGGGCAUUGCCGACAGAAGAAGCGCCGGCUAACUCCGUGCCGACAGCCGCGGUAAUAC
rnacentral:rRNA from 1 species